ACCUGGCUCACACCGGUCUAAACUCAGAUCAUGUAAAAUUUUAAAGGUCGAACAGACCUAACCCACUAGCUUCUGCACCAGCCGUAAAUUUUAAUCCAACAUCGAGGUCGCAAACUAUUUUUUCGAUAAGAACUCUAAAAAAAAUAACGCUGUUAUCCCUAAGGUAAUUUAAUCUUAUAAUCUUAAAUAAAGGAUCAUAUACUUAUAAAUAAAUAUACUAAUGAAAGAAAAGUUUAUUAAAUUUUCCUGUCGCCCCAACAAAAUAAGUAUUUAUAUAAUUAGAUGUAUUUACCCUUCAUAACCAAAUUAUUUAUAUACAUAUAAAACUCUAUAGGGUCUUCUCGUCUUCUAUAAAAAUUUAAGCUUUUUUACUUAAAAAUAAAAUUUUAAUUAUUUCUCAAAGAGACAGCCAUUUUUUCAUCAAACCUUUCAUACCAGCUUUCAAUUAAAAAACUAAUGAUUAUGCUACCUUUGCACGGUCAAAGUACCGCGGCCAUUUAACUCCUCAGUGGGCAGGUUAGACUUGAAAUUAUUAUCAACAAGCCAUGUUUUU
rnacentral:rRNA from 1 species